AUACUUACCUGUGCAGGGGAGAUACAAUGAUCACAAAGGUGGUUUUCCCAGGACGAGGUUCACCCAUUGCACUCCGUAUGUGCUGGCCCCUGCGAUUUCCCCAAAUGUGGGAAACUCCACUGCAUAAUUUGUGAUAGUGGGGGACUGCGUUCUCCCA